UACGAGGGGGGCUAGUGUUGUUCGGAAUCACUGGGCGUAAAGGGAGCGUAGGCGGGAGCUCAAGUUGGGUGUUUAAUUCCGGGGCCCAACCCCGGGCGUGCACUCAAAACUGGGUUUCUUGAAUAGGGGAGAGGUCGAUGGAAUUGGAGGUGUAGCGGUGAAAUGCGUAGAUAUGUGGAGGAACACCGAUGGCGAAGGCAGCCCCCUGGGUUAACACUGACGCUCAUGCACGAAAGCGUGGGGAGCAAACAGG
rnacentral:rRNA from 1 species